UUCCAUACUUCACCCAGUGCUCAUCACCACAACUGCACUCCUUAAUCCCCAUGACUUGUUUGAUCAACCCCCUCCACCACCUCCCUUCUGACUGAUUCUACGAAGAAAUUUAGAAGUUUAAGUGAUGGAAAAUUGGAUGAAUAUUCUAAAACCCAGGAAAGAAAAAAAUAUAUACAAAAUCUGUGAAAGGAGAUAAAACACCUACUUUUGAAUUUGGGGACAACUACUUAACAUACCCAGAGGAGAUGAUGAACGAAUUAACAAUCCUGUUAACAAUCCUCGCCAAUGAACUCACACAUUUAUGGUCAAUUAACUUAUGACAAAGAAGCCAAGAAUA